AUAACUGCAGUGCAAACAACAACACUGGCUACUACAUCAACUCUGUCAAUCAGUUAGUGCAGCAGUGGAG
rnacentral:lncRNA from 7 species